GACUCCGUAGUUCAGUUUGGUCAGAGCACUGGAUUCUUAAUCCAGAUGUCAUGGGUUCAAAUCCCACCGGGGCCA
rnacentral:tRNA from 6 species